UCAUGAGGUUCCUGCUUCACUUCCUGGAGAUUAGCUGCGAGCCCGCGCGCGCCAACAAGAAAGCCCGCGCGCGCCAAGAGAUACUCUUCUCCCCCUCCUUCCCCAUUAUCAUAUACCAAUCAGAAUGUAACUCGCUGCGCCAUCCCUGCUAUGCAGCCAAUCCCCUGCUUACAAGUAUCCUAUGGCCCACUCUGCCCCUGAACACUGGUGUAUAUCUACCCCCGUCUUACAAUAAAAUUUGAGGGCUUGAUCAGAAUACUGUCUUGCCUUCGCUCUUCUCUCGCCCCCAUUUUCUUUCAGGUCGGAUCCCCCUCGUCCCCACAAAUAACUAGGUCCCGCUGGACGGGACAAGUGGCGCCCAACGUGGGGCUCGAGGCGCGGAUCCUUCGCAGGCGGACCCCCGAGUAAGAUAUCGUCUGGCCAGACCCCUUCUUGAUGAAACAAUAGGAGACGCCUUUCGCCGCUCACGGAGGUCGUCGUCCCUGGAGGCAAAAAUGAAGAUUUGUACACUAUUGACCCUCGUCAUGACCUUUCGCCCCGUUUGGACCCAUCAGAUUUUCAAUUUCACCUGGACAGUCACCAGUGAAGCAGGAGACGUCGUUUUCAGUUCUUCUACCUUAGCAAGUUCCCCCCCAUGGCCUGUUCUUGCCCCUGACCUCUGUGACUUGGCCGCUGGAGCUUCUGCAGCCUGGGGGACCCCAGACAUUUACUUUCCUUUUUCCACCUCCCCUGAGACCUACCCUGAGGGACAAUCUACCACCUCUCCUGGGUGUAACAACACCCCUAGGAGAACCUACCUCAGAGAAACAGAAUUUUAUGUUUGCCCGGGAGCUCAUAGAGAUCGAGCCCUUAACUAUAAAUGUGGAUAUAGAGACUCCUAUUUCUGUGACUCCUGGGGGUGUGAGACUACAGGAGAUGCUAGUUGGAAGCCUAGCUCCACCUGGGAUUAUAUAACUGUAAGUAGGGCUUGGAAUCCCAAGCCUAACUCAACUGUUACCCCAGAAUGUCAAAGCACCCAAUCCACAAGGGGGCGAUGUACACCGCUCUCCAUUGCCUUUACUGACAAGGGAAAAAGGGCCCCUAUUGAUAGAUGGCUCAGGGGACAUGAAUGGGGGCUAAGGCUUUAUGUUUCAGGGAAGGACCCUGGGCUCACUUUUAAAAUCAAAUUAAUUCGAUCCAUUCCAAACGCCAACAAGCACGUUGUCCUUGGCCCUAUUGCCCCUAAGGCAAGAGACCCAAGACCUUCUAACCCUUCUCCCCUGUCUACUAGUACUGUUUUCCAGGCCUUGCUCCCCCCAGUUUUACCCUCUACAGGCGAAAUCCUUAAAGGCCUGGCUAAUGUGACUGCAGAAUCCCUUAACUCCACUGGAUAUAGCGAGUGCUGGUUAUGUUUCUCCCCCGUUCCCCCGUUUUACGAAGGGAUAGCAGUUUUAGUAAACACCUCAGCAGACCUCAUACUUACCAAUGACUCCAGCAAGACUCGCUGGUCAGACCCCUCCCGUUUUUCAGAGACCUCUCCGGGUCUCACAUUGACGCAGCUUUCGGGAAUAGGCCUCUGUAUACAUAGCCCCAUCUUGCGUCUACCCCCUCAGCUAAUACCCAUUUGUAACAGCUCCUUCUCACCCCCGCUGUCCUAUGAAUUCCUUGUCGCGCCCAACGGUACUUAUUUUGCUUGCUCCUUUGGCAUAACGCCCUCUGUUAACCCGCGCUUGCUAAUAUCUAACAAUGAAUAUUGUGUUUUAGUCAUACUCAUGCCCAAGAUUUCCAUACAUCCCACCGAAGACCUCCUUCCAUAUUACUCGGGCUCUACUCGCACUAAGCGUGAGCCAGUAACCGCCAUUACCUUAUCUGUAAUAUUAGGAUUAGGAGCAGCUGGGGCUGGAACAGGCAUUGCCUCCAUAAUUACUUCUAAACAACAAUAUUAUGCUCUUAGUCAGGCUAUUGAUAAAGACAUACAAAAUCUGCAAGAAGGUUUAGACAGCCUGAAAGAAUCUGUUGUCUCUCUCUCUGAGGUAGUGCUCCAAAAUCGCCGAGGGUUAGACCUCCUUUUCCUGAAAGAAGGAGGCCUCUGCGCUGCUCUUAAAGAAGAAUGUUGCUUCUAUAAAGACAAAACAGGGUUAGUGCAAGAUAGCAUUGAUAAAGUUAAGAAAAACCUAGAAGCCAGGCAAAAACAAAGAGAAAAGGA